GAAAGAAAAAUACUGAACCUAUUAAAGCUCUCCAAACUCAAUGCAUGAAUUCAACGUAAGCUGCAGCUUCGGCGGCCUCACCCCCAUCCCCCAAUAGAAAACCCCUCCCCUCCUCCAAGGGGGGACUCGAAUGGUUCGCUCUCGCACCACUGGGGUUGCGCGCCCUCCCACUUCCCCCACCGCGGAAAUCCGGAGCGCUAUUUGGUCCCGCCUCGUCUGCGGCCCGGGCGGGCGCGGGGGUCGCUGGCCAGGCUCCCAACCCCCGCUACGCCUUGGAAAACAUGCCCUCCCUGAAUACCUUAUGAUUACUUGGGCUGCUAUUUUGAAGUGGGACAGAAGAUGAUCAAGGCUUGAUGCAGGAAGACCCUUUAGAUGGAUACUCCACGAUCCAGGGCAUCCAAAAGAGCUGAUGAACUGAAUUGGGAAGCUGAGGAAAGCCACAAGCUUUAGGUUGGAUAAAAGAGGAAAAAGAAUAAAUCCUCCUUUGUAAGGAAUCAGCUGGCUGAGUGAACUGGGAGCUACUCCAACAAUUUACUCGAAGGUGAGGAUGAAAUUCUACUGAAGAAUCUGGAUGACAGAGCAGAUCUAAUCUAUUUCCAAGAACAUCUGGUCAGCGAUUGACUUCAACACAACCUUUGACUCAAUAGCGAGAGCCACACAUUUAGGAACUCCAAGGAAAUCUCAGCUAGAGCCCAGUUUCAAGAAAUGUGACAGCACUCUUGUGAGCCAAAACAUGGAAUGGCCUUGUUGGUGUUGGUAUUGUUUUUUACAAAAAUAAUAAAUGCUCAACCCAGUACAUCUAGAAGAAAUUGGGAAGAGUAAACAAGGAAAUGAUUACUUGGUAACAAUUUCUCCCCUCUGUCCUUUCCGGGAAUCUUGUUUCUUGGACCAUGAGAAAUUCCAUCCAACAGAAAGUGGUACUUUAAUAAGGUUUGGGGAGGGAGCCAGCUGUUUACCAGUCUUUUCAAGGCAUUAGCCUUUCUUGCUCUUCCUGCACAUAGAAGCUUUUCAAACCUUUGCUUUUUCUGCACUCGUUAAACGUAAUUUUGGAUCUGAGACCUGAUGAGAUUCUAUCAAUUGAAGUCAUAUUUUGGAAUAAUGACUUCAGCUGAGUUAAUUUCUCUUUGUUGGUUGUUAAAAUAGAUGAAUGAAGCCUUCAUGACAAAUUUGCUUCUCCCUCUGCUCACCAAUCAUUCAGACAAAUUAAUACAUUACAAGUUCUACAGUUUUCCCAACUUCCCUUGUUCCUCCCACCUCGUUUACCUUCCCCCACCACCACUCACAAUUUCCCUCUUGGCCUUGUCCUCUAUGCACUCCAGGACCACCACAGAGGCGUUUCCUAAGCUGAGGCCCAAGCAUGAAAUGCAUUGCAAGUGCUCACUAAUCGAAGCCUCUCCAUCUCCCCACCAAGAAAUCUUGUACAAUUGAUUGGAAGAUACAUAAUGGCGAGUGGUAAUCUCCCUGGUGAUGCAAUUCACACAAGUGCCUGUUCUCUCCUCACCACAAGAAUGUGGCAAGUGUGUGCAACUGAGUAGCACAUAGAAGAAAGAGAAGUCUACAUAGCUGAAGUGGACGCCCUCAGUCUCCAUCCAUGGCAGGGCACCCAUGGAUUCCUCCCCUCCCAGUACUAACUGCAGGGGUAUGAGAACACAGCAUGAUUCAUAGAAUUCUCACGACACCUAGUGCCAUUGAUACUAGCAUGUGUCCAGCGCAAGCAGUCUGCAAGGCUGACCAGCCCAAUCACUGUUCUCUAGUCCCUUUGACAUUUUGCUACUGAAAUUCCUAAAAGAAUCACCACUGUGAUGGAGCCUAUUAUCCGGAUGUCAUUGGUUGGAUCCACCAUCAUCGAAUCACUCUCCUGGAGCAAAAAAAAAAAAAAAAAAAAGUAUAUAUAUAUAUAUAUAUAUAUAUAUAUCAAAAUGGUUAGAGAUGGAGAUUUUUUUUUUUUUGGCCUGUAUGUCUUAUGUGGCAUUUAAUAGUAAGAAGAAAUAUACACUAAUAUCUGGGGCUACACAGGAAAAUAAAAUAAUGAAAUGCUCAUAAAUUUGAGAAGAUAAAGAAUCUAAUGUUAUUUUUUCCCUAUAAUAAUAGGCCUUUUAUAGCCAAAGUUAGGAGUUAGAAAUUUUAGAGAAUCAUUCUAAUCACAGCUUUUGAAGCUAUUGUAGCACGAAGUAAAAGUAUGCAUACAUACACGUAUCAUGUUUUAUUUCAGAAGAAAGACUAAUUAUUUUUGUGUCAAGAGGAAUCCUAGAGGAGUAAAAAUGAUGAGUGGCUACUAUUGUGAGUAUCAGAAAAUAAGUGCUAUGAGCAAUAUAAUCCACGCAUUUAUUCAUCUAAUUUUCAAAGAGAGGUACUGUUACCAGUUGAAUUCCGUGUCUGUUAUCACUACCAUGAAAGGAAGACUAGAAAGAGGUUAGCUCUUAUAUAGCUAAUUAGUGUGCUCACAUGUAUACCAUCCAGAUGGGGCACCUAAACUAAAAAAUGUCUAGUUUCCCGCAGUGAGUUGUUCUAGUGUUUGAAAACCUAUAAGCAUAAUUAUAAUAUUGCUGCUGCUGAUAAUACCCAUUAUUUAUCUUUUCUUUCAUAUUUUAUAUGUACUAUAUAUAUUUUUAUAUUUCAUGUACCUGAUUUCAUUUUAUCUAUAUCACAUUUCUAUGAAAGACUUCGAACAGUAUUAUUAGCCCGUAUUAUAGAUUUGAAAAACAAGUUUCAGAUGAGCAGAGGUACUGGUCUAAAAUCUCUCAGCUGAUAAAUGUGAGAGCCAGAAUUCUGAGCCAGUUCUGAUGCCAUGCCUAGGCUCCUUCAACUAUAUUCAGCUUCCAUAUUCUGCAGAAUAAAUCUAUUUUCUCUCAUAUUGCCAUAAUGAUAUCCCCAAGUGCCUGAAAAAGCAAAUUAAACCAAAUUAUCUUGCUUAGCUGAAGAAAAGCAAAGCUUUUAAUUACCUUAAGGAGAUCUACCACAGUCUCAGCAAAUCCCACCACGUACAUAGCAACAGCCACUGCAUUGGCAAAGGCAAAGAUCAAGCCUAUAGACCCACCAAACUCGGGCCCU